rnacentral:lncRNA from 1 species
AGAAGCAGGAGCAGCUGAAGCUGAAGCAACUGCAGAAAGAGGAGAAGCUUCGGAAACAGGCAGGGCCCCUUUUGUCUGGUGACCCCCAUCUCCUGCCCCCUGUUCCCUGCCCCAGCCUUUCUCCUGGCCCCCGACUCCUCCCUCGUCCUCACUCCUCAUCCCUUCCCCUUUCUCCCUCAUGCUCCCAGGGACCCUGCUUCACUCCCCUAGCAGGUCCGGGCUCUAGGCAGCAUUUUCUCUCCCAUCAUCUGAACCAGUGACAGUGAGAACCGUCACAGUCCUCUUCCCUUUCACGGCUGUUCCAGGAGCUUCAGCCUGGCUGCUGCAGGUCCCACAGCUUCUGGUCCUGGCCCACCCACCUGCCCAGCACCAGGGGGCAUCACCAGGCCUAUGUGACAUGGCUGUCAUGGCAGCCGGGCUAGCUGUUUCCCAUUCCCUGUCUUCCCUGGUGUAGGCUGCCUCCCCCAAGGGCGCCUCAGUUUCCAUUAAUGUCAACACCAGCCUUGAAGACAUGAGGAGCAACAACGUUGAGGACUGCAAGAUGAUGGUGAGCUCAGGAGAUAAGAUGGAAGAUGCAACAGCCAAUGGUCAAGAAGACUCCAAGGCCCCAGAUGGGUCCACACUGAAGGCCCUGGGCCUGCCUCAGCCAGACUUCCACAGCCUCAUCCUGGACCUGGGUGCCCUCUCCUUUGUGGACACUGUGUGC